rnacentral:lncRNA from 1 species
GGGGGGGGCUAGGAUGAAAAAUUUUGUCCUGCAUUUUUUUUUAGCUGUAAUCUCUGUCCUGCCUUUUUAUUUUUCACUUUAUCGGUCCUGCCUUUUUUUUUUUUUUUUAGUUUAUCGUGACUUUUUUUUACCUAAAUUGUCGUCCUGAAUUUUUUUUUUUUUUGCAAGUGUCACAUCCUGCCUUUUUUUUUACUCAAAACUCCUGUCCUGCCUAUUUUUUUCAAAUUUCAUCCUAGCCCCCCCCCCCCCUCCC